AGAGUUUGAUCCUGGCUCAGGACGAACGCUGGCGGCGUGCUUAACACAUGCAAGUCGAACGAAGAGCGAUGGAAGCUUGCUUCUAUCAAUCUUAGUGGCGAACGGGUGAGUAACGCGUAAUCAACCUGCCCUUCAGAGGGGGACAACAGUUGGAAACGACUGCUAAUACCGCAUACGAUCUAAUCUCGGCAUCGAGGAUAGAUGAAAGGUGGCCUCUACAUGUAAGCUAUCACUGAAGGAGGGGAUUGCGUCUGAUUAGCUAGUUGGAGGGGUAACGGCCCACCAAGGCGAUGAUCAGUAGCCGGUCUGAGAGGAUGAACGGCCACAUUGGGACUGAGACACGGCCCAGACUCCUACGGGAGGCAGCAGUGGGGAAUCUUCCGCAAUGGACGAAAGUCUGACGGAGCAACGCCGCGUGAGCGAUGACGGCCUUCGGGUUGUAAAGCUCUGUUAAUCGGGACGAAAGGCCUUCUUGCGAAUAGUGAGAAGGAUUGACGGUACCGGAAUAGAAAGCCACGGCUAACUACGUGCCAGCAGCCGCGGU
rnacentral:rRNA from 1 species